UUUUGUAUUAAACCACGUAUCAAUACGCUUUCUAUAUUGUUUGGCCACGUACCCAGCCACUUUACUCACCUCUCCAUUUCUUUAUUUGAACAUCUCUCUCUUAAUACUCACAAUCUCCUCCCGUCCCCUGCACCAUCCUUCAAGCUUCUGCCAGAAUCUCUUCACCCACCCUUCUGCUUUCAUUCCUCACCGCUGAACUCGUCUCCACGGCCCCGUUUUCUCGCCGCCGUGUUCACCGGAAUCAUCAGCCGCCGCGCCUCCCGACGAAGCGCCGAUGUUCUUGUUUUUCUGAUCCCCCUGCACCUGUUCUUGAAGUCAGGCACCGUCUCUUAUUUCUUUGGCUGAUUGACUCUAUUUCCUGAUCAGCAGUGCACCUUAUUUCGUAUUGUUCUGAUUUAGAAUUGAACGAGACGUUGAUCGAGAAGUGAUUGAAAUGGGUAUUCAAAAAUAGCCAAGUUGUGUUGCAAGUUGAAGUUAGGCAGAGAUUGCUAUAGAUAGAAUCUUGUCAGAAGCUGGCAGAAAGGAAUGAUAUGGCACUACAUAGUGUUACUAGAACUCUGAGAUAGACACCGGAGUUAAGAUAAUGUUAAAGAUGGUUCGCCUAUUUAGGUUAAGCAUAAGAGUAAGGCUAGGCGAGGAUUGCAAGUGACUAAGUUUCAACCUGAUGGUCAGGAAGAGUAUCCAAGAUCGAGUCUUUGGGACUAGUGAAUUGAACGAGACGUUGAUCGAGAAGUGAUUGAAAUGGGUAUUCAAAAAUAGCCAAGUUGUGUUGCAAGUUGAAGUUAGGCAGAGAUUGCUAUAGAUAGAAUCUUGUCAGAAGCUGGCAGAAAGGAAUGAUAUGGCACUACAUAGUGUUACUAGAACUCUGAGAUAGACACCGGAGUUAAGAUAAUGUUAAAGAUGGUUCGCCUAUUUAGGCUAAGCAUAAGAGUAAGGCUAGGCGAGGAUUGCAAGUGACUAAGUUUCAACCUGAUGGUCAGGAAGAGUAUCCAAGAUCGAGUCUUUGGGACUAGUGGUAAUUAGAGUUGUCUAAAUUUGAUUUAGUUGUAAAAACAUGUAAUAGGAUUUAUUAGUUUUACUUUUCUGAUUUCAAUACUAUAGCCUGUUUGCGAUCCUGUUUUAAAGGGGGUUAAACUUUGUUCUUUUAAAUCUUUUAUUAAAGCUUUUAGGUUUUCAAUUCUUUGA